AGUGAACGCUGGCGGCAGGCCUAAUACAUGCAAGUCGAACGGCAGCACAGCAGAGCUUGCUCUGUGGGUGGCGAGUGGCGGACGGGUGAGGAAUACGUGGGAAUCUGCCCAGUCGUGAGGGAUAACGUAGGGAAACUUACGCUAAUACCGCAUGCGCCCUUCGGGGGAAAGCCGGGGACCUUCGGGCCUGGCGCGAUUGGAUGAGCCCACGUCGGAUUAGCUAGUUGGCGGGGUAAAGGCCCACCAAGGCGACGAUCCGUAGCUGGUCUGAGAGGAUGAUCAGCCACACUGGAACUGAGACACGGUCCAGACUCCUACGGGAGGCAGCAGUAGGGAAUAUUGGACAAUGGGCGCAAGCCUGAUCCAGCCAUGCCGCGUGAGUGAAGAAGGCCCUCGGGUUGUAAAGCUCUUUUGUCCGGAAAGAAAAGCGCCGGGUUAAUACCCUGGUGUCCUGACGGUACCGGAAGAAUAAGCACCGGCUAACUUCGUGCCAGCCGCCGCGGUAACAC
rnacentral:rRNA from 1 species